UACUGGUCCCUAUUGGGAUCUACUGGUCCCUAUAGGGUCGGCCUGGUCCCUAUUGGUCCCUAUAGGGUCGGACUGGUCCCUAUAGGGACGGACUGGUCCCUACUGGUCCCUAUAGGGAUGGACUGGUCCCUAUUGGGAUGGACUGGUCCCUACUGGUCCCUACUGGUCCCUAUUGGUCCCUAUAGGGUCGGACUGGUCCCUAUUGGUCCUUACUGGUCCCUAUAGGGUCAGACAGGUCCCUAUAGGGUCGGACUGGUCCCUAUUGGUCNUGGUCCCUAUAGGGUCAGACAGGUCCCUAUAGGGUCGGACUGGUCCCUAUUGGUCCCUAUUGGUCCCUACUGGUCCCUAUAGGGUCGGAGUGGUCCCUAUAGGAACGGACUGGUCCCUACUGGUCCCUAUAGGGUCAGACUGGUCCCUAUUGGUCCCUAUUGGUCCCUAUAGGGUCGGACUGGUCCCUAUUGGUCCCUAUAGGGUCGGACUGGUCCCUAUUGGGCCCUAUUGGUCCCUAUAGGGGUGGCCUGGUCCCUAUAGGGUCGGCCUGGUCCCAUACCGGCCACCUCAGCGAUGUCCCCGGGUACGAGGUCCCUGGCCUUGAUGCGCUGCACGGCCCGACGGUCGGCGCGAUACACCUUGCCCAUCUCCGGCUCGUAUUCCUUCAGGGCCUCGAUGGCGUUCUCCGCAUUGCGUUCCUAUAGGGGAUAUAUGGGGUUAUAUGGGGUUAUAUGGGGUUAUAUGGGGUCUUAUAGGGUUAUAUGGGGGGAUAUGGGGGGGUUAUGGGGGGAUAUGGGGUGUUAUAGGGGGAGUUAUGGGCUCGUAUUCCUUUAGGGCCUCGAUGGCGUUCUCCGCAUUGCGUUCCUAUACGGCAUAUAUGGGGUUAUAUGGGUCUUAUAGGGGUUUAUGUUAUGGGGUUA
rnacentral:lncRNA from 1 species